rnacentral:misc_RNA from 1 species
AACCUUGAGCUUUUGUACCUCGGCACAUGUUGUGAAGAACUUUCCCUCUUGCGCGAACCAGAAUAAAAGGUACUAUUACCUCUACUAGGUCUUCCAAAAUCCACAUUUCUGUCGUUACUCUGCCUUGGUUGUUGCUGAUAAUCCCAAGAAGUGCCCUCAGAUCCUCUCCGUCUUCUGUCCUUUGAGGUUGUUCCACCACCUCGACUAAAAUUCCUGUUCCAGCGAGAGCCAUAGUCUGAAUUCCGCUGCUCAUGCCCUCCAGUAUUCCAACAGGUUUGACCCCAGGAACCAACGCUAUUAUCAACCCAUUCGUUUCCUUUAGCACCAGAAACACAUGCACCACUUCGAUACCACAAAUUGCUGAAACUGUUAUCAACACAAGCAUAUCCAUUCUGAUAAUUCAUCCCACUGUUCCAACCCCACGACUCAUUUCCACAGCCUCCCCAGGCAGUACCCUUCAAGAUGCCCUGGGUUUUUGGGGAACUCCUUUCCCACGGAUUAUCAUUUUUGAUGUUUACAGGGGUAUACCAUUCAUUCCAAGUCUGCUUCGUAUCCUCAAUAGAAGCACUUUCCCAAGGAUUUUCACGAUUGCCAACAGGCUUUGAGUCCUGCACAUUGCCACUUUCCCAAGGAUUUUCACCAUUAGCAGCAGUUUUAGAGCCCUGCACAUUACCACUUCCCCAAGGGUUUUCACCAUUAUCAGCAGUUUUAUCCUCCCAUACCAGGGUGCAUCCAGGAUCUAAGUUGUUCUCAGACUUGACAGAGUUCUUAACUUCAUUAGGGUUGAAAUAUUCUCUGUCCAAAUCUAAUAUCAGCUCCGGAUCGAUAGCUG